GGUAGGAACCGAAAGGCGACGACCUUCGGGAGCUUGCACAGGUGCUGCAUGGCUGUCGUCAGCUCGUGUCGUGAGAUGUUCGGUUAAGUCCGCUAACGAGCGCAACCCUCGCUGUGUGUUACAAGUGUCACACGGUACUGCCGGUCUUAAGCCGGAGGAAGGUGGGGAUGACGUCAAGUCAGCAUGGCCUUUAUGUCCUGGGCUACACACACGCUACAAUGGCCAACACAAUAGGUUGCUAAGCCGCGAGGUGGAGCCAAUCCUCAAAGUUGGUCUCAGUUCAGAUUGCAGGCUGCAACCCGCCUGCAUGAAGAUGGAGUUGCUAGUAACCGCAGGUCAGCUAUACUGCGGUGAAUACGUUCCCGGGGCUU
rnacentral:rRNA from 1 species